AGCUUGCUAAUAAUUCUCUAGUGGCGCACGGGUGAGUAACACGUGAGUAACCUGCCCCCGAGAGCGGGAUAGCCCUGGGAAACUGGGAUUAAUACCGCAUAGUAUCGAAAGAUUAAAGCAGCAAUGCGCUUGGGGAUGGGCUCGCGGCCUAUUAGUUAGUUGGUGAGGUAACGGCUCACCAAGGCGAUGACGGGUAGCCGGUCUGAGAGGAUGUCCGGCCACACUGGAACUGAGACACGGUCCAGACACCUACGGGUGGCAGCAGUCGAGAAUCAUUCACAAUGGGGGAAACCCUGAUGGUGCGACGCCGCGUGGGGGAAUGAAGGUCUUCGGAUUGUAAACCCCUGUCAUGUGGGAGCAAAUUAAAAAGAUAGUACCACAAGAGGAAGAGACGGCUAACUCUGUGCCAGCAGCCGCGGUAAUACAGAGGUCUCAAGCGUUGUUCGGAAUCACUGGGCGUAAAGCGUGCGUAGGCUGUUUCGUAAGUCGUGUGUGAAAGGCGCGGGCUCAACCCGCGGACGGCACAUGAUACUGCGAGACUAGAGUAAUGGAGGGGGAACCGGAAUUCUCGGUGUAGCAGUGAAAUGCGUAGAUAUCGAGAGGAACACUCGUGGCGAAGGCGGGUUCCUGGACAUUAACUGACGCUGAGGCACGAAGGCCAGGGGAGCGAAAGGGAUUAGAUACCCCUGUAGUCCUGGCAGUAAACGGUGCACGCUUGGUGUGCGGGGAAUCGACCCCCUGCGUGCCGGAGCUAACGCGUUAAGCGUGCCGCCUGGGGAGUACGGUCGCAAGAUUAAAACUCAAAGAAAUUGACGGGGACCCGCACAAGCGGUGGAGUAUGUGGCUUAAUUCGAUGCAACGCGAAGAACCUUACCUGGGCUUGAC
rnacentral:rRNA from 1 species